CCAUGGUGCCAAUUCAUGUUGGUUAGUUUCCCGCAAAGUUGUUAGGCUCUUUGCUGCACUGCUGGUUAGCUUUCCUGCACAAUAAUUCUGUUUUCAAUCACCAUCAUAAAGGAAUUUAUUCGUAAAUUACGUGUAGC
rnacentral:lncRNA from 1 species